UUGUUCAGGUUGAAACUUCAUUUAGGGCUCUGCAGCAUAGACUUUGCUCAGUCAUGUUAUGCCAUAGCUGUUUUAAGGUAAACUCGUGAUUAAUUUGUUCUACUGAAUAUCAGUGACAUUAUAAUGACCACCUGGUGACUGCUUAGAAAGGCUUCUCCUCACUGUAGGUAAAAGGAUGACAGUCAAGGACUUCUCUGGAAUGGUUACAAUCCAUUGUAGUGUCUGUAUGUAUUCAGACUGCAGCUAAAAUAUCUCCUGCGGACUAUGUGAAGUAAUUAGUAAUAAUUGAUUUGCCCCCUUUAAAAUCUUUAAUAAUUGGAAUUUUGACCAUGUUUUUUUAUGUCCCAAAUGCAGUCAGAUUACAUGCCAGAAUGGUAAUAACAAAAAUUUAACUACAGAUGUAUUCUGACAGGUUUCUUAGUUAUGGUGAAUCUGAAAGGGAGCCGAGUGAUGCUUCUUUCAAUCCUCCCUGCUUUAAACUUCCGAAUAAUGAAACUUGUAUUUUGGUUUUCAGUUGUUUCUUUUUCAGAGCUUUCGGAGACUUUUCAGUCAGGCCCUACUAGAAAAAGCCUUGUCUACUCAGAGGGCUUUUGCUGAGCACUCAGGAGGUACAUUGUUCCACUAAUUUAACAUAGUUUUGUGCUGACAUCAAUGUAAUCAGCUUUUCAAUGCACAGAACUCCACAAGACUCUGGUCUCCCUUACUGUGGGCUACCUUCCAAAGGCUGCCUGUCCUCUCCUGUUUAAUUGCACAUAAUCCUAAAAUCACCCAGAGACAAUUGCUGACCACCUAUCCUGAUUGCAGCUGUAGUAGCAGAGUAAGAUUGUGGGUUUGCUUAUUUUUUUCAUCAAGAAUUAAACUGAUCUCCUUUGGAACAAAAGCAACUCCCUUCAGUGCCGAAAGUCUAUAGGAUCACUGUUACAUUUAGAUUGUGAGUAGUUUAAGAAAAAUAGUCACAAGUUUUUGGAAACCGGUUGAUCAGGUAUCCAAGGGUAGAAUGUCCUUUGAGUUUGGUUUUGUACAACUCAUAGUGAGGCAGGGGGUUUUUCUUGCAGUGAUUUCUGUACCAGAAUUUGUGAGCUCCCAUGGGCUACUUCAGGCUGCUGGCUGAGAGGGUGAGAAGCUCUUGCAGUGAAGCAGGAUCUGUUUCUUUACCUAAAAGCUGACCUGGUUCUUUACCUGAAAGUUAAGACUAUUGGAUAAGUCAAUAUAAAAGCCUAAAGAAGAAUUCCUUGCAAGUAUUCUUCUUCAACAUGGCAACUGAGGUGGUAAGAGCUUUAGAUAAACCUUGUCCUGAAUGAGAAGACAACUGGUACAUUGGACCAUAAUGGUUCAAUAGAUCCAUACAGCAGGACAUUUUUCUGCAAUGAGUCUGCAACACUCAGGAGACUGCUGUUACUUAUCAGCAUUGCAGGGAGGAAGAAGAAUUACAUAAUAACAAGUACAUAAAUCAUCUUAGGAGGAUGCUUAUUCUUUGUACUGUUUUUCCUUGGAGUGACAUAGCCUUGGAGGCAUCUAUGAAUCCUGAUCAGCAAGGCUGCUUUUUGUCUAAGUGACUGAACACUUGUAAGGGCUAUACAGUAUGGAAAGAGAAAACUUUAAAGAGGGAUGGGGUUUGGAAUACUGUUGCCCCCAAGUCAGUCGAUAUUCUUGCCCUUUCUAGGAUACAGUUUGGGUUAUUCAGCGCGUUUGAAAGCUCAUACAGUUUUACAAGUUUUUGUAGUGGGGAUGCAGGCAUCCAGAAUCUAACAGGUAUAUAGGUGCAUCUCCCUCAUUUUUGACAAUUACUUGAUAUAAUUUUGUAACAAGUUCUUUGUUUUUAAAGAAUUUCAAGCACUGAGAAUACAGAGUGCAUAUUUAUUUCUAAGCUUUAAGUAGAACACGUGGUGUAUUUUUUAAUCCUUUCCAUAUGUUUCAGUUAAGUGUUCACAAGACUGUAUAUCAGAUACAAUACCAAGUUUUUCUAUCUUUCUACAAGCCAGUUUAAGUUUCAUUUGAAUUUGGUAUAUAUAUGUCUUUCACAGAACACUAAAUGGGGAAUAUGUGCUUCAAGCAUUAAGGUGGUGUAUGUCCUUUUCUCCAUUUACACUGCAUUGCGUUUCACUUCUUUUUUCCUUUGAGGCAGAGAGAGCAGAUACAAAAUGUGGUGAGUGUGUUUCAGGGGCACACCAUGUGUUUCGUUGUGCCUGGCUUCAAGGAAUGUACUAUAACGUUGGACUGCUCACAGAUUUACAUAAUUAUCUCCUCCUCAGUUGAAUACAGGGCUGUUGUGUUGUAUUUCCUGUUACUCAGAAAAUUUGGGGAAAAGAUUUUUCUGUGUAUAAUUUUAUUUUCAUACUGACCUCUAUUUUGUUUAAGACCAUGUUUCAUCUUGAAAUCACUUAAUUAAAAUAAAUCUUCUUACAAAAUCCA